GUGGCUGUGGCUCAGUGGUAGAGCACUUGCCAAGCAUGUGUGACACACUGGGUUUGAUCCUCAGCACCACA
rnacentral:tRNA from 1 species